rnacentral:rRNA from 1 species
CCUACGGGAGGCAGCAGUGGGGAAUAUUGCACAAUGGGGGGAACCCUGAUGCAGCAACGCCGCGUGGGUGAAGAAGUAAUUCGGUAUGUAAAGCUCUGUCAGCAGGGAAGAAAGUGACGGUACCUGAGUAAGAAGCCCCGGCUAACUACGUGCCAGCAGCCGCGGUAAUACGUAGGGGGCAAGCGUUAUCCGGAUUUACUGGGUGUAAAGGGAGCGUAGACGGCACUGCAAGUCUGGAGUGAAAGGCGGGGGCUCAACCACCGGACUGCUCUGGAAACUGUACGGCUGGAGUGCAGGAGAGGUAAGUGGAAUUCCUAGUGUAGCGGUGAAAUGCGUAGAUAUUAGGAGGAACACCAGUGGCGAAGGCGGCUUACUGGACUGUAACUGACGUUGAGGCUCGAAAGCGUGGGGAGCAAACAGGAUUAGAUACCCCUGUAGUC